rnacentral:rRNA from 1 species
UACAGAGGGGGCAAGCGUUGCUCGGAAUUACUGGGCGUAAAGGGCGCGUAGGCGGGAUGGCAAGUCGGUCGUGAAAUCCCUCGGCUCAACUGAGGAGCGUCGAUCGAAACUGCCGUUCCUGAGGGUUGCAGAGGAGACUGGAAUUCCCGGUGUAGCGGUGAAAUGUGUAGAGAUCGGGAGGAACACCGGUGGCGAAGGCGGGUCUCUGGGCAACUCCUGACGCUGAGGCGCGAAAGCGUGGGGAGCAAACGGG